CUAAGGUCCCAAAGUCAUGGUUAAGUGGGAAACGAUGUGGGAAGGCCCAGACAGCCAGGAUGUUGGCUUAGAAGCAGCCAUCAUUUAAAGAAAGCGUAAUAGCUCACUGGUCGAGUCGGCCUGCGCGGAAGAUGUAACGGGGCUAAACCAUGCACCGAAGCUGCGGCAGCGACACUGUGUGUUGUUGGGUAGGGGAGCGUUCUGUAAGCCUGUGAAGGUGUGUCGUGAGGCAUGCUGGAGGUAUCAGAAGUGCGAAUGCUGACAUAAGUAACGAUAAAGCGGGUGAAAAGCCCGCUCGCCGGAAGACCAAGGGUUCCUGUCCAACGUUAAUCGGGGCAGGGUGAGUCGACCCCUAAGGCGAGGCCGAAAGGCGUAGUCGAUGGGAAACGGGUUAAUAUUCCCGUACUUGGUGUUACUGCGAAGGGGGGACGGAGAAGGCUAUGUUGGCCGGGCGACGGUUGUCCCGGUUUAAGCGUGUAGGUGUGUGUUCCAGGUAAAUCCGGUUCACUUUAACACUGAGGCGUGAUGACGAGGCACUACGGUGCUGAAGCAACAAAUGCCCUGC
rnacentral:rRNA from 1 species